ensembl:rRNA 5S_rRNA 5S ribosomal RNA
GCUUACAGCCAUACCACCCUGAGCGUGCCUGAUCUCGUCUGAUCUCGGAAGCUAAGCAGGGUUGGACCUGGUUAGUACUUGGAUGGGAGACCGCCUGGGAAUACCAGGUGCUGUAAUCU